GGGGAUGGGGCCACUGCCUUAUGGGGCAGAUUCUGCAGGGUGCCCAGAAGGCCCAGCUGGCAGGAUGGACAGGGUCAUCGGCGAGUCACAGGGCUGAGGAGGACACACUCGAGGCACAGAGUCCAGUUCCAGUCCUGCCCCAGCAGGCUGCAAAGGUUUGAGAUCGCAGGCUGGCCUGUCCCCCACCUCACCGUGAGUGGCUCAGACUGUGGACUCCAGGGAGAGACCGGGCCCAUUCCAUUCUCAGAGCUUUGGGGUCCCUUGUCCUUGAAAUGAGAACGACAUCUUGCAGAACCGAUGGAGGACAAAAUGAGAUGGUGAACGUCAAGCGCCUGAGAUGUGAAUGCUCAGUUCACUUUGGGGACAGCUCAGGGAGGGUUAGACCAGUGCAGUGGGCUCUGGAGUGCAGCUGCCUGGGUUCAAGUCCCCACUUUCUCCCUUCAUCGCUGUGUGACCUUGGGCCAGUGGGUGACAUGCUCUGGCACUCUGUCCCUUCACAAGUCACCUGGAUGAUGACAAUCACACUGGAACUGGGCUCCUAGGGAGGGCGUCCUGUCACCUCCAGGGGGCAAGAGGAGAGGAGACUGGGCAGGGCAGAGCCCAGACCCUGACCUGGACCCCACAAGUCAAAGACAGCAGAAUUUUGGCACCUGAGGGACAUUGGUGGGAAAGGCAUGGGACUGUCACCUCCUGCAAGGCUCUGACUGUUGGAAUUCAUGACACACCUGCAACCAGCCAGGUGUUUCCCUGACUUUCCGGGUAUUUUAGUUGCAAAUGCCAGAUUCCAAAUCAGGGACUAAAGCAAAACGGAGAA